rnacentral:rRNA from 1 species
AUUGAACGCUGGCGGCAUGCCUUACACAUGCAAGUCGAACGGUAACGCGGGGCAACCUGGCGACGAGUGGCGAACGGGUGAGUAAUGUAUCGGAACGUGCCCAGUUGUGGGGGAUAACUGCUCGAAAGAGCAGCUAAUACCGCAUACGACCUGAGGGUGAAAGCGGGGGAUCGCAAGACCUCGCGCAAUUGGAGCGGCCGAUAUCAGAUUAGGUAGUUGGUGGGGUAAAGGCUCACCAAGCCAACGAUCUGUAGCUGGUCUGAGAGGACGACCAGCCACACUGGGACUGAGACACGGCCCAGACGCCUACGGGAGGCAGCAGUGGGGAAUUUUGGACAAUGGACGCAAGUCUGAUCCAGCCAUGCCGCGUGCGGGAAGAAGGCCUUCGGGUUGUAAUCCGCUUUUGUCAGGGAAGAAACGCUCUGGGUUAAUACCUCGGGGUAAUGACGGUACCUGAAGAAUAAGCACCGGCUAACUACGUGCCAGCAGCCGCAGUAAUAC